rnacentral:rRNA from 1 species
GUGUCAGCAGCCGCGGUAAUACGGGGGGGGCAAGCGUUGUUCGGAAUUACUGGGCGUAAAGGGUCUGUAGGUGGCUUGCUAAGUCAGACGUGAAAUCCCUCAGCUUAACUGGGGAACUGCGUCUGAGACUGGCGAGCUUGAGGGCAGGAGAGGAACGCGGAAUUCCAGGUGUAGCGGUGAAAUGCGUAGAUAUCUGGAGGAACACCGGUGGCGAAGGCGGCGUUCUGGACUGCAUCUGACACUGAAAGACGAAAGCCAGGGGAGCAAACGGGAUUAGAUACCCCCGUAGUCC